GUAGCGUAGUCGGCCAUUGCAUUUGCAUUGACCUUUCUCUCCCCAAACGGAAACCUCGCCUCAUCCGCCGCGCCAUGGCCGCCGCGACGGUGGCCGCCGAGAUCGCCGCGCUCCCGGAGCCGCGGGGGCCCCUGCGCCGACUCUGCGGAGACCUCGCGCGCCGUGUCCGCCUCCUCGCCCCGCUCCUCGACGACCCGUCCUCCGCGCCCGCUUCCUCGACCCCUCUCGCCGACGCCCUCCGCGCCGCGCGCGACCUCCUCCACUCCGUCCACCACGGCAGCAAGAUCUACCAGGCCACGCGAGGCCGGGACGGUCUCCUCCGCGAGUUCGCCGCCGUCAACAGGCAGAUCCAGGAGGCGCUGGACCAGCUUCCCUACCACGCCUUCGACAUGCCCGAGGAGGUGCAGGAGCAGGUCGCGCUCGUGCACUCCCAGUUCAAGAGGGCUGCGGCGAGGGCGACGGCGGACCCGCCAGACGCUCAGCUCGCCAGGGACCUGGACUGGGCGCUCCCCGGCGACAAGCCCUGUUUCCCCGCUCUCCUGGGGAGGGUCUCGGAGAAGCUGCAGCUGGAGACCAUGGCGGACAUGAAGAAAGAGUCCGUGGCUUUGCACGAGAUGGUCAUUUCCAGUGGGGGCGAACCGGAUGGGUGCGUCGACGAGAUGUCGUCCUUGCUCAAGAGGCUCAAGGACUGCGUGAUCACUCAAGAGCCCGCGUCCGAGGCUCUCGGCGGCGGCAGGUCUUCCUCUAUUAAGCAUAGGUCUCCCAUCAUCCCGGACGAAUUCAGAUGCCCCAUUUCGCUCGAGCUCAUGCAAGACCCCGUCAUCGUCUCUAGCGGCCAGACGUACGAGCGAUCCUGCAUCCAGAAGUGGCUUGAUUCCGGACACAAGACCUGCCCUAAGAUGCAGCUGCCCCUCACACAUACUUCCCUCACCCCAAACUUCGUCCUCAAAAGCCUCAUUGCGCAGUGGUGUGAAGCCAACGGUAUCGAGCUUCCCAAGAACAAAGCCAACUCCCAUGAUAAGAAAGUGGUCAAAAGUUCAGACUAUGACAAUGCUGGUCUGGUCUCGCUCAUGAGUAGGCUGCGCAGUGUCAACCAGGACGAGCAGCGGGCAGCUGCAGGGGAGAUCCGGUUGCUCGCAAAGAGAAAUGUGAACAACCGCAUAUGCAUUGCUGAAGCGGGAGCGAUUCCCUUGCUGGUCAAUCUGCUCUCCUCUUCCGAUCCAAGAACGCAGGAACAUGCUGUCACGGCACUCCUUAAUCUCUCCAUCCACGAGAAUAACAAGGCAAGCAUCGUGGACUCCAAUGCUAUCCCUAAGAUAGUGGAAGUGCUGAAAACCGGGAGUAUGGAAGCCAGAGAGAAUGCAGCAGCCACACUAUUUAGCCUGUCAGUUGUGGAUGAGAACAAAGUAACUAUUGGCGCCGCUGGUGCGAUACCUCCACUCAUCAAUCUUCUGUGUGAUGGCAGCCCAAGAGGCAAGAAAGAUGCAGCAACGGCAAUUUUUAAUCUGUGCAUAUACCAGGGCAAUAAGGUCCGGGCGGUGAAAGCUGGAAUCAUCGUCCAUCUGAUGAACUUCCUGGUGGAUCCUACCGGGGGAAUGAUUGAUGAGGCACUCACUCUUUUGGCAAUUCUUGCCGGUAACCCAGACGGCAAGGCUGUAAUCACGCAAUCAGAGCCAAUGCCCCCACUUGUCGAGGUCAUCCGAACUGGGUCUCCUCGCAAUAGAGAGAAUGCUGCAGCCAUUCUAUGGUCUCUUUGUUCUGCUGAUGCUGAGCAAAUCAUGGCUGCAAAGGCAGCUGGAGGGGAAGAUGCACUCAAGGAACUGUCAGAAACUGGCACAGAUCGUGCAAAAAGGAAAGCUUCUAGCAUCCUUGAAUUCAUCCGCCAAAAGGAAGAGGCGUGAACCGGACACCAUAAUUUUGUUGAAAUCUGAGGUUGUGGCCUUAGCUAUAGCCAAUUGUACACGUAAAUACUAAAGUUUUUCUGGAUAGUGUUGACAUUUGAUUGUUUGUAUCUAGGGAGGUGCUAAGAAUUUUCUGUAAUCAUAUAAAUUGGCUGUAUACUACUGUGUAACUCGGACCAAGUUGUACUUCUUGAUAAGAAAAUAAACAGGAAAGUCUAUAUUAGAGGAAGUGAAAAGGAGACCGGAAGUUGUUUUCUUCUUGGUCAGCUAUGUACUUUUGGGUGAUGUGUUGGGUGGCUUCAUUUGAAGUAAGCUCCUUCUCAGAAAACUCUUAUUACAUGUAGUUUCUAUUUUCAUCGUUCUUGUGGAAAAUCACAAGUACACUAUCUAUUACUAGGUUAAUGUAGCUUAGCUUCUUUAUAGUUUAGUCCCAUAUCAUGGAGCUAUAUAAUACUGUAUCAUCUAAUACAUCGAAACAACACUUUCUCUUGAUAAUUAAGUUGCGGUGCGACAGAAUAUUGAUAUAAUAUAUAGUCCAUUCUAGGCGAGUUAUAUAUAAUCAUCAUUUUCUGAGUCUACAUGUAAGGAACCUUUUGUGGGCAGCGUAUUUGGUGAAUUGAGGACCACGGUGCAGUGUUUGUUUAAUACACAUCAACUACGGUAUAUGUUAGGAUUAAGAAAAAAAGAAAAUAAAGUUCUAAAAAAAUCCUGCAUUUCCCCUUUUGUGCAUCUAAGAUUUUCGCUAAUGUUGCAUACGUGGGUAGAGCAUAGAAUCAGACAGUAAACAGUUACUGACUUGCUAUUAUUCAAUGGAAUCAAACAAAGCGAUGGUGUCAUUGCAUAUGCAACUUAAUCUGUUUUGACCAUGUGGGGUUGGGUGGUUAGCAAUCUCAAGUUCUACAAAAAGUAACUGUUUGCAAUCUGAAGAUUCAGAACAACUCUUGAACACUGAGCUGGCUAUAUGCUGGUGUGCAGAGAGAAGUGAAGAAUCCAUGAACUCAAAUCAGCAGUUCUGCUCUGAACAAAAUGUAGACGCAAGAUGGAAAACAUACAGUGAACCAACAAAGCAAGACGGUGCGGCACGUGGAUCGUGUCUCAUAAUUCGGUGGUGGAUACUUUGCAUUUGCAAGCUAUUAGUGCUUUAGAAGAAAUAAAAAGAACAAAGGUUCAAAGGGGCAAAACAUUAGAGAGUAGCGGCAAGAUGUGUCCACUUCACCAGCAGGAUAUAUAUCAUCACCAUAUUAUUAUGACAUCUGAAAUACACAACAUGUUGUGACCAUAACUAGAUGUCUAGGAAUGUCGUCCGCAGAAUGUAGUCUUUUCGGUCCACGUCAGUCGUGUCUUAGCAUUCUUUUAUUCCUUUUGAGAACUGGAGAAGAUCUGGUUGUUUUUGAGGGCAAUGAGCUUAUAUAAUAGUUGGGUAUCA